rnacentral:pre_miRNA from 1 species
AGUGGAAUUGCUGGGUCAAAUCAUAGGUGCAGCUUUAAUUUCAGGAGAAAUUGAGAAACUUUUUUCCGUGGUGGGUGUGCCAUUUUGUACUCCCACCAGCAGU